rnacentral:rRNA from 1 species
UACAGAGGCCCCGAGCGUUACCCGGAAUUACUGGGCGUAAAGAGUGCGUAGGUGGUCGUGUUAGUCGUCUGUCAAAGCCCCCGGCUCAACCGGGGACACGCGGGCGAAACGGCACGACUUGAGGGAGUGAGAGGUGAAUGGAACUCAUGGUGUAGGGGUGAAAUCCGUUGAUAUCAUGGGGAACACCGAAAGCGAAGGCAAUUCACUGGCACUUUCCUGACACUCAAGCACGAAAGCGUGGGUAGCGAACGGG